rnacentral:lncRNA from 1 species
UUCUCCCUUAGAUUUGGUCCAGGGUUUAAGUGUUGUUCCAUAAACCAGGGGCUAUAAAAAUGAUCCAUGCUUUUAUCUUGAAAUCAAAUAUUUCUCCCAAUAAUUUUUACUCUCAUUGUUCUCAAUUUACCUCUUCAGUUGUACUAAACAAAUGCUCUUUUUAAGCAUUGUUCCACAAAUGGUGGGCUCUAAAAAUGAAUUGUUUUAUGAGCUUUUAUAAAUACCAAAGAUUCAUACCUUUGUGCCGUGUUUGAAGCUAAAUCAGAUGAAUAAGGUUGUCCCUGCAGUCAGAGCAGUGAGAACUGCAUAGGUUUUCAUAGGAAAACAUUUAAAAGAUGCUGUUAGUGAUAGAGAAGUAAAAAUGAGAUUCUGACAUAAUGCAACAAUGUCGCUUCUACUGGGGAGGAUUUGAAUAUACAAGCUUCCAGAUCCAGUGCAACAUGAAAAAUGUGAGGCCACUUC